UUCCCUACGAUUGCGGCUUCUUACAAUCAUGUAAGAUUGGGCAAAAUCUGCAAAGAAGAACCAAUUAUAUGUUGAUGGGAGCUAAGAUCUAUUCAUACGAUAAAUCAUCAAUAUCUUUAUUGAUUAGGUAGGAGUUGUUUGUACGAAAUUGUAAAUCGAAGAACAUCCUCCAUUUCUUCAUAUCGUGCGAAGCAAUGGAAUUGAAAUUUCUAAUAUAAGGGAGGCUAGCUUGAUGAUAGACGGACCAAAAAGGAAUAUGUAAAUCCAAGAAGGGAUUGUUGCCACAAUGAAGAAAACAUCUGAAUUUGGUCGCCCUUAUACAUGAAAGCUAAGU